rnacentral:rRNA from 1 species
GAUGAACGCUCGCUACAGGCUUAACACAUGCAAGUCGCGGGGCAGCAUGGGGGUUGCUUGCCACUCCCGAUGGCGACCGGCGCACGGGUGAGUAACGCGUAUCCAACCUGCCCUUCACCACGGGAUAACCCGGCGAAAGUCGGACUAAUACCGUAUGUUUUCCAUUGACGGCAUCCGAUUUGGACGAAAGGCUUUGCGGUGAAGGAUGGGGAUGCGUCCGAUUAGCCAGACGGCGGGGUAACGGCCCACCGUGGCUACGAUCGGUAGGGGUUCUGAGAGGAAGGUCCCCCACACUGGAACUGAGACACGGUCCAGACUCCUACGGGAGGAAGCAGUGAGGAAUAUUGGUCAAUGGGCGUAAGCCUGAACCAGCCAAGUAGCGUGCAGGAUGACGGCCCUAUGGGUUGUAAACUGCUUUUAUGCGGGGAUAAAGUGGCCCACGUGUGGGCUUUUGCAGGUACCGCAUGAAUAAGGACCGGCUAAUUCCGUG